rnacentral:rRNA from 1 species
CGGCCACAAGGGGACUGAGAUACGGCCCUUACUCCUACGGGAGGCAGCAGUGGGGAAUAUUGGACAAUGGGGGCAACCCUGAUCCAGCAAUUCUGUGUGCACGAAGAAGGUUUUCGGAUUGUAAAGUGCUUUCAGCAGGGAAGAAGAAAGUGACGGUACCUGCAGAAGAAGCGACGGCUAAAUACGUGCCAGCAGCCGCGGUAAUACGUAUGUCGCAAGCGUUAUCCGGAAUUAUUGGGCAUAAAGGGCAUCUAGGCGGCCAGACAAGUCUGGGGUGAAAACUUGCGGCUCAACCGCAAGCCUGCCCUGGAAACUGUUUGGCUAGAGUGCUGGAGAGGUGGACGGAACUGCACGAGUAGAGGUGAAAUUCGUAGAUAUGUGCAGGAAUGCCGAUGAUGAAGAUAGUUCACUGGACGGUAACUGACGCUGAAGUGCGAAAGCUAGGGGAGCAAACAGGAUUAGAUACCCUGGUAGUCCUAGCUGUAAACGAUGAUUACUGGGUGUGGGCAUGAAGAGUGUCCGUGCCGAAGCAAAUGCGAUAAGUAAUCCGCCUGGGGAGUACGGCCGCAAGGCUGAAACUCAAAGGAAUUGACGGGGACCCGCACAAGCGGUGGAGCAUGUGGUUUAAUUCGACGCAACGCGAGGAACCUUACCAGAUCUUGACAUCCUACGAAUGCCUGUGAGAACAGGCAGUGCCUUCGGGAACGUAGAGACAGGUGGUGCAUGGCUGUCGACAGCUCGUGUCGUGAGAUGUUGGGUUAAGUCCCGCAACGAGCGCAACCCCUGUUGCUAGUUACCAUCAUUAAGUUGGGGACUCUAGCAAGACUGCCUGCGAAGAGCAGGAGGAAGGUGGGGAUGACGUCAAGUCAUCAUGCCCCUUAUGAUCUGGGCUACACACGUGCUACAAUGG